AGCAUCAAGACAUCAAGCGCCCAACAAAAAUGACCCGUGAUUAUGACAUGACAUAAAACUACAAAGUGCUCGACGCUCUUUGGCUGAAUUUAAAUGUCUUGCCACCACAACAACUACUAAUAAGGCACUCCACAUCGCUACUCAUACAGGCAUAACCGAACGCUAACCAUAUUGAUACGAUAUAUUUGUAUGUAUGUAUAAUAUAAAUGAAAAUGUUAUUUAUAGUGGUUUUUAAUUGCAAUAUAUAUAUUUGAAUGUAAGAAUACACAGAACUUAUA